rnacentral:piRNA from 1 species
UAAUGGCCACACAAUUCAAGUCCCUUCUGCC